CAAUAGCGUAUAUUAAAGUUGUUGCAGUUAAAAAGCUCGUAGUUGGAUUUCUGUUUUUAGUUACCGGCCGACUCAUGUAUUUGAGUGUGUGCUUUGGUUACUGAAUUCAUUUUUGUGAGGAUCCUUGGCUAGCAUUAAGUUGUCGGCCUUGUGUACUUGCAUCUUUUACUGUGAAAAAAUUAGAGUGUUUAAAGCAGGCGUUCGCUUUAUUUGAAUACAUUAGCAUGGAAUAAUAAGAUACGACUUGUGUGGUCUAUUUUGUUGGUUUGCACACGCGAGUAAUGAUUAAUAGGGACAGUUGGGGGUAUUCAUAUUUCAGCGUCAGAGGUGAAAUUCUUGGAUCGCUGAAAGAUGAGCUUAGGCGAAAGCAUUUACCAUGGAUGUUUUCAUUAA
rnacentral:rRNA from 1 species